rnacentral:rRNA from 1 species
ACGCUAGCGGCAGGCUGACACAUGCAAGUCUGAGGGGCAGCGCGUGAAGUAGUUUACUACUUCUGGCGGCGACCGGCGGACGGGUGCGUAACGCGUAUGCAACCUACCUUUACAGGGGGAUAACGGAUGGAAACGUCCACUAAUACCCCAUAACAUCGGGAAUGGCAUCAUUCUCGGUUAAAAACUCCGGUGGUAAAAGAUGGGCAUGCGUUGUAUUAAGUAGUUGGUGUGGUAACAGGCACACCAAGCCUACGAUACAUAGGGGGACUGACAGGUUAGCCCCCCACACUGGUACUGAGACACGGACCAGACUCCUACGGGAGGCAGCAGUGAGGAAUAUUGGUCAAUGGGCGCAAGCCUGAACCAGCCAUGCCGCGUGCAGGAAGACGGCUCUAUGAGAUUGUAAACUGCUUAUAUACUAGAGGCAUAACUAUGGAGUACGUGCUACUCAUUUGAACGUCACUAUAUGAAUAAGGACCGGCUAAACUCCGUGCCAGACAGCCGACGGUAAUACGAGAGGGUCCAAGCGUUUAAUCCGGAAUUUAAUGCGUUUAAAGGGUGCGUAUGCAGGCACAACAGAGUUAAGGUGAAAUCCCGGGU